GUGAUAUGUGAACUGUCAUGUCUGCCUUGCCGUCAUCUCGGUUCCACUCGGUCACUGUCGCUACGCGCCCCACGCUUACCACACAAUGUCGAGGGAUUCACCUUUGGCUGAAAGUAUUGGAAGGGCCGUUCUGGCAGCUAUACAAGAAAUUAACCCAGCGUCAGCUACAACGGCUGCCGCAGAGCCACAACAGCACUCGGCUGUCCGGAACUACGCUGCUCUUAGAUCAGCCACACCGUCUACCUCCACUUUGACAUCCUACCGCAUGGUAUGCUGUCAUACUGAUUUGACCUAGAUGUCUAUUUGUGUUUUUAACAUGACUUGUGACUCCGGCACUGAUGGUACGGUAUCUUUAACAGCACCAGACUUCACCCCAGUGACCUCUCAGUCAGGUACCUACCAAGGAAGGCAUGAUAUAUCCAGAGAGGAGCUUGAACAUGUUCUUUCCCUGAAAACCACUUUUACUGAAGCAGCAUCUACUCUUGGAAUCUCAAGGCCAACUUUCUAUAAAUUACUACAAGACUACAAUAUUCCAACAUCAAAAUUUGAUCUAAUCAGUGAUCAACCACUCGAUAUUGAAGUGUCAC